GAUCAUGGCUCAGGAUGAACGCUGGCGGCGUGCUUAACACAUGCAAGUCGAACGGAGUUUACUUAACAGAUUCCUUCGGGAUGACGUUUUUUAAACUUAGUGGCGGACGGGUGAGUAACGCGUGGGUAACCUGCCUUACACAGGGGGAUAGCAGUUGGAAACGACUGGUAAUACCGCAUACCUUACAUUAUUCGCAUGUUUGAUGUAAGAAAGAUUUUANCGGUGUAAGAUGGACCCGCGUCUGAUUAGCUAGUUGGUG
rnacentral:rRNA from 1 species